GAUUUGACAUGCACGGAUUAACCCUGUGAAGCAGGGCCACGCCCUUGGGUGGAACGUGCACAGGUGCUGCAUGGCUGUCGUCAGCUCGUGUCGUGAGAUGUCGGGUUAAGUCCCUUAACGAGCGAAACCCUUGUCGUUAGUUGCCAGCGGGUAAUGCCGGGGACUCUAACGAGACUGCCGGUGUUAAACCGGAGGAAGGUGGGGAUGACGUCAAGUCCUCAUGGCCUUUAUGUCCAGGGCUGCACACGUCCUACAAUGGUGCGUACAAAGGGAAGCGAACCCGCGAGGGUAAGCAAAUCCCAAAAAGCGCGCCUCAGUUCGGAUUGCAGGCUGCAACUCGCCUGCAUGAAGCCGGAAUCGCUAGUAAUCGCGGGUCAGCAUACCGCGGUGAAUAUGUUCCUGAGCCUUGUACACACCGCCCGUCAAGCCACGAAAGUGGGGGGCCGGCGAAGUCGCCGAGCUAACCCGUAAGGGAGGCAAGCGCCGAACCGGAACUCCGCGAUUGGGACUAAGUCGUAACAAGGUAACCAAGGGCGAA
rnacentral:rRNA from 1 species